rnacentral:rRNA from 1 species
UAAUACCGGAUGUGGCCACCCUGCGAUUGCAGGGGAAGCUAAAGGAUUUAUUCACUUCCCGAGGGGCUCGCGGCCCAUCAGCUUGUUGGUGAGGGUAACGGCCCACCAAGGCGACAACGGGUAGCUGGUCUGAGAGGAUGGUCAGCCACACUGGAACUGAGACACGGUCCAGACACCGACGGGUGGCAGCAGUCGAGAAUCAUUCGCAACGGGGGAAACCCUGACGAUGCGACGCCGCGUGGAGGAUGAAGGCCUUAGGGUUGUAAACUCCUGUCAAGAGGGAAUAAGCAAGUGAAGGUACCUCUAGAGGAAGGGGCGGCUAAUUCCGUGCCAGCAGCCGCGGUAACACGGAAGCCCCGAGCGUUGUUCGGAUUCAUUGGGCGUAAAGGGUGCGUAGGCGGCGCGGAAAGUCCGGCGUGAAAGGCAGGGGCUCAACCUCUGGACUGCGUUGGAUACUUCCGUGCUUGAGGACUGGAGGGGAGACUGGAAUUCACGGUGUAGCAGUGAAAUGCGUAGAUAUCGUGAGGAAGACCGGUGGCGAAGGCGAGUCUCUGGACAGAUCCUGACGCUGAGGCACGAAGGCUGGGGGAGCGAACAGGAUUAGAUACCCUGGUAGUCCCAGCAGUAAACGAUGUGAGCUUGAUGUGGGGGGAUUCGACCCCUUCCGUGUCGAAGCUAACGCGAUAAGCUCACCGCCUGAGGAGUACGGCCGCAAGGCUAAAACUCAAAGAAAUUGACGGGGACCCGCACAAGCGGUGGAGUAUGUGGCUUAAUUCGAUGCAACGCGAAGAACCUUACCUGGCCUUGACAUGCAUUGUGUCGUCGGUGAAAGCCGGCUAGUCCUGGAAACAGGACGCUUUGCACAGGUGCUGCAUGGCUGUCGUCAGCUCGUGUCGUGAGAUGUUGGGUUAAGUCCCGCAACGAGCGCAACCCUUGUGGUCAGUUACUAACCGGCUUAGCCGGAGGACUCUGGCCAGACUGCCCUGUCAAACGGGGAGGAAGGUGGGGACGACGUCAAGUCAGUAUGGCCCUUAUGGCCAGGGCUGCACACGUACUACAAUGCCCGGUACAAUGUGAACCGAAACCGCGAGGUGGAGGAAAUCGCUCUUGAAAACCGGGCCCAGUUCGGAUUGGAGUCUGCAACUCGACUCCAUGAAGUCGGAAUCGCUAGUAAUGGCGUAUCAGCAAC